GACGAAGAACGCAGCGAAAUGCGAUACGUAGUGUGAAUUGCAGAAUUCAGUGAAUCAUCGAAUCUUUGAACGCACAUUGCACCUCUCGGUAUUCCGGGAGGUAUGCCUGUUCGAGCGUCAUUUGUACCCUCAAGCUCUGCUUGGUGUUGGGUGUUUGUUCCGCCUCUGUGUGUGAACUCGCCUCAAAACAAUUGGCAGCCGGCGUACUUGUUUCGGAGCGCAGCACAUUUUGCGAUCCAGAUCAACGUACAGCGGCAUCCAAGAAGCCUUAUUUAACGCUCUUGACCUCGGAUCAGGUAGGGAUACCCGCUGAACUUAAGCAUAUCAAUAAGCGGAGGA
rnacentral:misc_RNA from 1 species